ACACGACUACAUUAGAUACCCGGGUAGUCCCAGCCGUAAACUAUGCGCGUUAGGUGUACUGGUGACCACGAGUCACCGGGGUGCCGAAGGGAAACCGUGAAACGUGCCGCCUGGGAAGUACGGUCGCAAGGCUGAAACUUAAAGGAAUUGGCGGGGGAGCACCGCAACGGGAGGAGCGUGCGGUUUAAUUGGAUUCAACACCGUAAACUCACCAGGGAAGACUGUUACAUGAAGGCCGAGAUGAAGACUCUGCUAGAUUUUCAG
rnacentral:rRNA from 1 species